rnacentral:rRNA from 1 species
GACGAACGCUGGCGGCGUGCUUAACACAUGCAAGUCGAACGAAGUGGCGAACGGGUGAGUAACGCGUAAUCAACCUGCCCUUCAGCGGGGGACAACAGUUGGAAACGACUGCUAAUACCGCAUACUGAAGGCGGGGAUUGCGUCUGAUUAGCUAGUUGGAGGGGUAACGGCCCACCAAGGCGAUGAUCAGUAGCCGGUCUUGGAGGGUGGACGACCACAGUGGGACUGAGACACGGACCAGACCCCUACGGGAGGCAGCAGGAGGGGAUUUUAGGCAAUGGACGAAAGUCUGACCGAGCAACGCCGCGUGAGUGAUGACGGCCUUCGGGUUGGAAAGCUCUGUUAAUCGGGACGCAGUACCGGAAUAGAAAGCAACGGCUAACUACGUGCCAGCAGCCGCGGUAAUUC